CAGUCGCCGCGGUAAUACGUAGGGUGCAAGCGUUAAUCGGAAUUAUUGGGCGUAAAGCGAGUGCAGACGGUUACUUAAGCCAGAUGUGAAAUCCCCAAGCUUAACUUGGGACGUGCAUUUGAAACUGGGUGACUAGAGUGUGUCAGAGGGAGGUAGAAUUCCACAUGUAGUGGUGGAAUGCGUAGAGAUGUGGAGGAAUACCGAUGGCGAAGGCAGCCUCCUGGGAUAACACUGACGUUGAGGCUCGAAAGCGUGGGGAGCAAACAGGAUUAGACACCCGAGUAGUCCCUGUCUCUUAUAU
rnacentral:rRNA from 1 species